AGCGGUGUGGUGUAAUUGGUCAGCAUAUCCGACUUUUAAUCGGGAGAUAUUGGUUCGAGUCCAGAAGCCGCAA